UUCCACGUCUUCAUAGCUCUAGAUAAAAGCC
rnacentral:piRNA from 1 species